UACGUAGGGGGCUAGCGUUGUCCGGAAUCAUUGGGCGUAAAGAGCGUGUAGGCGGUCCGGUAAGUCCGCUGUGAAAGUCGGGGGCUCAACCCUCGAAUGCCGGUGGAUACUGUCGGGCUAGAGUGCGGAAGAGGCCAGUGGAAUUCCUGGUGUAGCGGUGAAAUGCGCAGAUAUCAGGAGGAACACCUAUUGCGAAGGCAGCUCGCUGGGACGUAACUGACGCUGAGACGCGAAAGCGUGGGGAGCGAACAGG
rnacentral:rRNA from 1 species